CAGUAGCCACGGUAAUACGUAGGGUGCGAGCGUUAAUCGGAAUUACUGGGCGUAAAGCGUGCGCAGGCGGUUUUGUAAGACAGGCGUGAAAUCCCCGGGCCCAACCUGGGAAUGGCGCUUGUGACUGCAAAGCUAGAGUGCGGCAGAGGGGGAUGGAAUUCCGCGUGUAGCAGUGAAAUGCGUAGAUAUGCGGAGGAACACCGAUGGCGAAGGCAAUCCCCUGGGCCUGCACUGACGCUCAUGCACGAAAGCGUGGGGAGCAAACAGGAUUAGAUACCCGCGUAGUCCCUGUCUCUUAUAC
rnacentral:rRNA from 1 species